GUCUAAACUUGAGGUCGAUGACUUGUGGUGCUCAAACGAGGCACGCACCUGGUUAAAUAGAUUCAAAUAGACUUCAAAUUUAGAGCUGCUAAGUACUAAACAUCCAACUGCGAGCAGGUUUUUGCAGCUCUGCUUAACGCGAAUUAGAAGUCGAAAAAUAUGAACUCGCUGCAGAUUAUCGUUUCACUUUUUGUUGCAAUUCUGCUGGUUGACUAUCUUGAUUGCGCGAGAAUAUCGAAGCGUAAAUGCGGAGGAGAUAACAUGCUUUGGAGGGAGGACAAACUGAGAUCAUGUGAAGUGACCACUGGGAUGGAUUUCAAAGGGAUCUGCGGGGAGGGAUCGGCACACUUUGAGCAGACAAGAGACAUUGCCUGGUGGAUUUAUUCUGAUGAUGAUGGAAGUGAAGCCAAGUGUUCAAUGGGCAUAACCCACUUGUACGAUCCAGAUGGCCGACUGCUCUUUUACUGCCUCAUAAACUGUCCUAAGGGGGUUCAAAACAUUUAUCCCAGUGAAGACGCGUGUCUGAAAGCCUGUGGAAAGUGAGCUGAAAUUUAAAGAAACGAAACUAUGUCGAGAAAACAAAAAUGUCCGUCCCUACAAUUAUUUGUACAACUGUCUUGUCUAUGACUAAAAGCUUGUUGGGUCAAAAGUAUUAUACUUCACAAUAUUUUUUCGAGCAUAAAUUGGGGACCGGCAUAUUUGCAUGCCUACAGCUUAGCAUGUGGCUAUUAACGCAAAUGAAAU